CACUACAAGAAAUUUGACUUGUAACGACGACCUUUUAACGAAGGGACAUGAAUCCAGUCAUUAUAACUAAACUUUUAGCGACUAAAAUUUUAUCCAGUCGCCAAAGUGGAUUUUUGGCUUAGCAUUAGCGAAGGGUAUGAUGUCCGGCCGUAAAUACUGAGGAAUCCGGUCGUUAAUAAUAAUAAUUUGGCGGAAGUAUCCCAAAAGAAGUGCGCCAAACACCCUAUGCAAUAUUAGGUAUCCUUUUUUUGUUUUUUUCUUUUUUCUCCCCACUCAAAUAAUUAACGCUCCCCAUUUCCCCUUCCCAUGUAUAUAAUAAUAAAAGAAAUCCCUAAUCCCCAACCUGCAAAGAGACGUUACUGCAAUUGCUUCGCCAACACCCUCAACAAAAUUUGGUUACCUCUGGUAGAUGAGUUUGACUUGGUGGCGGUGGAGAGUGGGUUGAACCACCAAAAGCAAAAGCCCUAGCCUGCGUCCAACAAGGUGUCAAUAUUUUCGUAAAAUUGUCUUCUUUCUCUUUUAGGAUUUGAUUGAUUUCGACAGUUAUUUUCUAUUCGUAAUUCCAAUUCGCAGUAGUGAUGCUUAGAUUUUGAUUUUGCUCGUAUGCUAUUCUGAGGGUAAUAUAUUUGAGCAUAAAUUGUGAAGAAUUGUACUCUUUUUUUUUUUUUUUUUUUUGUUGCGAUUUAGCGGAAGAUGUGAGGCCAAUACAUAUGAGAAAUGUUAAGCGCCUGAUUUUUGAAGAAAAUUUGAAUUUGUGAAAUUGGAGACGCUUAGAGGGUGUUGGUUUCUAACAGAAGUUGGUGUACAUAGUAAAUUUUUAUCUACUGCUUGUCAGAGCAAUUGUGGUUGAAUAUUUCGGGUUCAAUGGAGUAACUGCAGUCACUAGUGCGCUUAUCUUUGCAAUGGGCUCAUAUUUUAUCAAGAAUUUGAAGUUUGAAGAACCUGUCUAUGAACAAAGUGCAGAGCAAGUAUAAGCAAACCGAAACUAUUAAAGAACAAGUUGACAGGAGAGACAUGCUUUCUAUUUUGUUCGGAGGUGUUUAAAGAUUUUCCUAUUUGUACAUGCUACAAUAUUUGUACUUCUUCAAAGGAGCUGCUAAAUAUAAUGUCAGAAAAGUUGGAUGGGUCUAUAUUUUUGUAAUGUCAUGAUUUAUUUCGUUGUAAUUAAAUAUGAAAUUCAGAUGGCUAUCGAUUAUUUUAUAUAUUGAGUUGAUUUUAUGUACUAA